CUGUCAGUCAUCAGCAGGAAGUAAGACAGUGAGGGAGGAAAAGGAACACCUAGGAUGAAAUAACCCACCACAGGCCCACAUCUGGGCAGAUGUAAUCUGAGAGCCAUGGAUUCUUUGUUCUGCUACUCAUCCCAUGAUUCAGGACCCUCAGCUGCUACUUUGGCAGGGUCUCUCAGGGCAUCUAGGUAUUUGUGUUAUUUCUGUUGUUGCCUGUUCACUGUGAGUAUUGGCAUGUGGUGUGAUGAGUCUAAUGCAUUCCAGGCAUAGCACCACUCCCAUUUUAUAGCAAUAAUUCCAGUUUCUCUUGAUGGUAAAAGGCAAGCACACAGGCCUAUUGUACCAUUGUUUGCUCUUGAUCAAGGGACUCGACAGCCUGAAACUUUCCUGGGGUAGUCUCUGGAGGAGGUCCUUCAUGUGGCACAAGGACCUCAGACCCAAAAGUCAUCAUCUAUUCACAGGUGCUGCACAAGAAACUAGAGGACAGCAGGCUAAGUCAUCACUACCUUACUCAUCGAGAGUCCAGGCAGUAGAAACCUAAGCGAAAAUGUCCUGUUGUGUCAUCGUUCACUGAUGAAAGUGUCAAGAAGGUGAGGUAGACAGUGCUAUUUUCGGUCAGGAUGGCCAGGGAGUUGCCCCUGUGGAAGUGGCAUUUGAAGUGUGGGUGAGGGGCCGACCCAUGGCUAUGAUGAAAUGUGGUUUUGGCAAGAGAACAGCCUAGGCAAGGGGCCAGCAGAAUGACUGGCAUGUUGCCGCAUUCACCCAGCCAAACAUCUGAUGGUACAAUCUGCUAUAGCCACACCUGUCCCUGAGUAGCCCAGCCCUUAAGGAGGAGCUCACCCCAGCAGGCUGACUGUAGCCCCUUCAGUGGGUUCUCAGCACUGUUCUUAGAUUACUCUUUCCUCUCCCUUCCCUUGUCUUACUCUCAUUCCAAGCUGCCACCCCACACUUAAACUUCAAAAGUUUUUUACUAAUUUUUUUCUAAUACAUGUAUCCCAUUUGAUCUUCACAGCAAAUUAUGAGUUAGGACUGUUGCUUUUAUAGAUAACUGAAGUCUAAAUACAUCGUGCCACCUAACCAUCCAACCAGCCUAGUAAUUGACAGAGCUGAAGGUCAAGCCACAGCAGGGAUUGUACUGGCCAAGUCCAAAGUCCAACCCAGUAUCUAUUGGCAAACUACUUCACUCCAUCCCGUGACUCACUCUGAAGACUAGAGCAAGGAGAUGGUCAAACACGAAAGCAUUCAGAUUACUGACAUAUUUACCAGGCAAAUUGCAUCAACUCUACAAUGUUAUUAAUCUUGUAAACACUCUUAUUUCGUGUAAUCUAAAGACCAAUGCUGUAAUUAAAACGAUAGAACAAUGCUAUAAUAGUUUGUCUUGAUUGCCAGCCUGAUGAGAUUUAGAGUUACUUAGGAAACACAGCUCUGGGCAUGUCUGUGAGAGUGCUUCCGGG
rnacentral:lncRNA from 1 species